UACGUAGGGUGCGAGCGUUGUCCGGAAUUACUGGGCGUAAAGAGCUUGUAGGUGGUUUGUCGCGUUGUUCGUGAAAUCUCACGGCUCAACUGUGAGCGUGCGGGCGAUACGGGCAGACUAGAGUACUGCAGGGGAGACUGGAAUUCCUGGUGUAGCGGUGGAAUGCGCAGAUAUCAGGAGGAACACCGGUGGCGAAGGCGGGUCUCUGGGCCGUUACUGACGCUGAGGAGCGAAAGCGUGGGGAGCGAACAGG
rnacentral:rRNA from 1 species